UUGCACCCUGACCUAAUACCAGUGUGCUCUCUUCCUUUUCAAUCUCGUUGCUGAGUAAGAAUAACACUGUUAACAGUGUCCUUGUAAUCAACUAAACACACUAAAAUAUGAUAUAGACAGUAUGCAUGUGUGCCAAAGGGAAACUGCUACAGUAACCAGCACAGAGGCUUGCUAAUGGCAGUCUUCGUUCCUCAAAGCAAUGAGCGCCUGUUUCUUGAAAAAGAAAAGAAAAGAAAAGAAAAGCCUUUUUGGCAUGAAAAUUGCUUAUCUCCAGCCUCCAAAUCAUAAAUCAUUCACAAAGAUAGCGGCGACUCCAGCCUUCGAAUGUUACUUUGUUAACAACACAAAUGGGUACAAACAGAAAGGAAGAGAAAUUAACAUUUGAACCAUAUUGUUUCUGGAGGGCUGGGAGAACCCUUGCAAGUCAGCCUUGUCUUAGUGAUGUAACUCCUGGACUAGGACGAGUUGGUCAUGAACUCUGUUUCCCUGUUUCAGAACCGAAGUCUUCCUGUAGGUUGUUCUGGUUAGGCCAACUGUUUCUAAACCAAAAUGGGGAUAGAAAAGCAUUUUUCCUUUUCUCUUUUGGCACUCACUUCAAUUAGCAUAUUUCCUUCUUUAGUAUGGAUCCCUUGAGUUUAGCAUCCCUACACUUAACAUUUUUGACUGCAUAUACAAUUCUGUGCUCUAACUGGGAAUUUGCUUGCAACGUUAGCACUUUACUAAUGAUUCAACUUUUUUCCCUGAUAAAUAAAUACUAAGCCCAAAUGCU